GGCCUAAACAUGCAAGUCGAGCGGUAGAGAGAAGCUUGCUUCUCUUGAGAGCGGCGGACGGGUGAGUAAUGCCUANGAAUCUGCCUGGUAGUGGGGGAUAACGUUCGGAAACGGACGCUAAUACCGCAUACGUCCUACGGGAGAAAGCAGGGGACCUUCAGGCCUUGCCCUAUCACAUGAGCCUAGGUCGGAUUAGCUAUUUGGUGAGGUAAUGGCUCACCAAGGCGACGAUCCGUAACUGGUCUGAGAGGAUGAUCAGUCACACUGGAACUGAAACACGGUCCAGACUCCUACGGGAGGCAGCAGUGGGGAAUAUUGGACAAUGGGCGAAAGCCUGAUCCAGCCAUGCCGCGUGUGUGAAGAAGGUCUUCGGAUUGUAAAUCACUUUAAGUUGGGAGGAAGGGUACUUACCUAAUACGUGAGUAUUUUGACGUUACCGACAGAAUAAGCACCGGCUAACUCUGUGCCAGCACCCGCGGUAAUACAGAGGGUGCAAGCGUUAAUCGGAAUUACUGGGCGUAAACCGCGCGUACGUGGUUCGUUAAGUUGAACGUGAAAUCUCCUGGCUCAUCCUGGGAAC
rnacentral:rRNA from 1 species